AGCCUCCUGAUGCUUACCGCAGGCUGUGUUCUUACACUGACUGUAUAGAAAGAGGAGGUGGAGUAAACCUACUCCCUAUACACCUCAGCUCAGGCCCUGUGUCUGGUCUGUAUUGUGAAUAGAGAAUACAGAG
ensembl:snoRNA